GAUGAACGCUGGCGGCGUGCUUAACACAUGCAAGUCGAACGGGAAACCUUUUAUUGAAGCUUCGGCAGAUUUAGCUGGUUUCUAGUGGCGGACGGGUGAGUAACGCGUGGGUAACCUGCCCUAUACAGGGGGAUAACAACCAGAAAUGGUUGCUAAUACCGCAUAAGCGCACAGGGCCGCAUGGUCCGGUGUGAAAAACUCCGGUGGUAUAGGAUGGACCCGCGUUGGAUUAGCCAGUUGGCAGGGUAACGGCCUACCAAAGCGACGAUCCAUAGCCGGCCUGAGAGGGUGAACGGCCACAUUGGGACUGGGACACGGCCCAGACUCCUACGGGAGGCAGCAGUGGGGAAUAUUGCACAAUGGGGGAAACCCUGAUGCAGCGACGCCGCGUGAAGGAAGAAGUAUCUCGGUAUGUAAACUUCUAUCAGCAGGGAAGAUAGUGACGGUACCUGACUAAGAAGCCCCGGCUAACUACGUG
rnacentral:rRNA from 1 species